rnacentral:rRNA from 1 species
GGAAGCCUGAUGCAGCAACGCCGCGUGAGGGAUGACGGCCUUCGGGUUGUAAACCUCUUUUAGCAGGGAAGAAGCGAGAGUGACGGUACCUGCAGAAAAAGCGCCGGCUAACUACGUGCCAGCAGCCGCGGUAAUACGUAGGGCGCAAGCGUUAUCCGGAAUUAUUGGGCGUAAAGAGCUCGUAGGCGGUCUGUCGCGUCUGCUGUGAAAACCCGAGGCUCAACCUCGGGCCUGCAGUGGGUACGGGCAGACUAGAGUGCGGUAGGGGAGAUUGGAAUUCCUGGUGUAGCGGUGGAAUGCGCAGAUAUCAGGAGGAACACCGAUGGCGAAGGCAGAUCUCUGGGCCGUAACUGACGCUGAGGAGCGAAAGGGUGGGGAGCAAACAGGCUUAGAUACCCUGGUAGUCCACCCCGUAAACGUUGGGAACUAGUUGUGGGGACCUUUCCACGGUCUCCGUGACGCAGCUAACGCAUUAAGUUCCCCGCCUGGGGAGUACGGCCGCAAGGCUAAAACUCAAAUGAUUUGACGGGGA